rnacentral:rRNA from 1 species
AACGAACGCUGGCGGCAGGCUUAACACAUGCAAGUCGAGCGCCCCGCAAGGGGGGCGGCAGACGGGUGAGUAACGCGUGGGAAUCUACCCAUCUCUACGGAAUAACGCAUGGAAACGUGUGCUAAUACCGUAUACGUCCUUCGGGAGAAAGAUUUAUCGGAGAUGGAUGAGCCCGCGUUGGAUUAGCUAGUUGGUGGGGUAAAGGCCUACCAAGGCGACGAUCCAUAGCUGGUCUGAGAGGAUGAUCAGCCACACUGGGACUGAGACACGGCCCAGACUCCUACGGGAGGCAGCAGUGGGGAAUAUUGGACACUGGGCGCAAGCCUGAUCCAGCCAUGCCGCGUGAGUGAUGAAGGCCCUAGGGUUGUAAAGCUCUUUCACCGGUGAAGAUAAUGACGGUAACCGGAGAAGAAGCCCCGGCUAACUUCGUGCCAGCCGCCGCGGUAAUAC